UUCCGGUUGAUCCUGCCGGAGGCGACCGCUUUUGGAGUUCGAUUAAGCCAUGCGAGUAGAAAGAAAUUAGAUUCUUUGCGAACUGCUCAGUAACACGUGGAUAACCUGCCCUAUGCUCUGGGAUAACCUCGGGAAACUGAGAAUAAUACCGGAUAGAUCACAACGCCUGGAACGGUGUGUGGUUGAAAGAUUACGGCAUAGGAUGGGUCUGCGGCGUAUCAGGUUGUAGGGGGUGUAAAGGACCUCCUAGCCAUCGACGCGUACGGGUGUUGGGAGACAUAGCCCGGAGAUGGAUUCUGAGACACGAAUCCAGACCCUACGGGGUGCAGCAGGCGCGAAAACUUCACACUGCAGGAAACUGUGAUGAGGGAACUCCAAGUGCGUGCACUUAGUGUGCGCUUUUGUUGACUAUUAAUCGGUCAAUGAAUAAGGGCUGGGAAAGACCGGUGCCAGCCGCCGCGGUAAUACCGGCAGCUCGAGUGGUCGUCGCUUUUAUUGGGCCUAAAACGUCCGUAGCCUGUUUGGUAAAUCUGUGGGUAAAUCAACCAGCUUAACUGGUUGAAUUCUGCAGAGACUGCCAGACUAGGGACCGGGAGAGGUGUGGGGUACUCUAGGGGUAGGGGUAAAAUCCUGUCAUCCUUAGAGGACCACCAGUUGCGAAGGCGCCACACUGGAACGGAUUCGACGGUCAGGGACGAAGCCUAGGGGCACGAACCGGAUUAGAUACCCGGGUAGUCCUAGGUGUAAACGCUGUGAACUUGGUGUCGGGGAUCCGUCAUGGGUCCCCGGUGCCGGAGUGAAGAUGUUAAGUCCACUGCCUGGGGAGUACGGGUCGCAAGGCUGAAACUUAAAGGAAUUGGCGGGGGAGCACUGCAACGGGAGGAGCGUGCGGUUUAUUGGAGUCAACGCCGGA
rnacentral:rRNA from 1 species